UGUAGCAAUACGAUGGAAAGUCUAGUGGCGAACGGGUGCUUAACACGUGGGCAACCUGCCAGGAAGUGGGGGAUAGCUCGCCGAAAGGCGAAUUAAUACCGCAUGUGAUUAGAGAGGACAUCCUUUCGAAAUUAAAGUCGGGGCAACCUGACGCUUCUUGUGGGGCCCGCGGCCUAUCAGCUAGUUGGUGGGGUAAAGGCUCACCAAGGCUUUGACGGGUAGCUGGUCUGAGAGGACGACCAGCCACACUGGGACUGAGACACGGCCCAGACACCUACGGGUGGCAGCAGUCGAGAAUUUUUGACAAUGGGGGAAACCCUGAUCGAGCGACGCCGCGUGGAGGAUGAAGGUCUUCGGAUUGUAAACUCCUGUCAUUGGGGAACAAGGUGCAUACGUUAACUGCGUGCGCAUUGAUAGCACCCGAAGAGGAAGAGACGGCUAACUCUGUGCCAGCAGCCGCGGUAAUACAGAGGUCUCAAGCGUUGUUCGGAUUCAUUGGGCGUAAAGGGUGCGUAGGCGGCGCGGUAAGUCGGGUGUGAAAUCUCGGAGCUUAACUCCGAAACUGCAUUCGAUACUGCCGUGCUUGAGGACUGGAGAGGAGACUGGAAUUCACGGUGUAGCA
rnacentral:rRNA from 1 species